CAAACGAGGUGGAAGGAGGGGCGGUCAUGCGUAGGGUCCAAGCGGUAGACGGAAGUAAGGGUGGGAAAGAGUUGCGUAUGUGGCAGAGUAAGUCUGUAGUGAAAGCUGGCGGCUCAACCGCAUACACAUUAUGGAAACUGCUCAGCUAGAGGACGAGAGAGGUACCUGGAAUUCCCAGUGUAGGAGUGAAAUCCGUAGAUAUUGGGAGGAACACCGAUGGCGUAGGCAGGGUACUGGCUUGUUCCUGACACUAAGGCACGAAAGCGUGGGUAGCAAACGGGAUUAGAUACCCGAGUAGUC
rnacentral:rRNA from 1 species